GACGAACGCUGGCGGCGUGCUUAACACAUGCAAGUCGAACGGUAAGGCUCCAGCUUUCUGGCGUACACGAGUGGCGAACGGGUGAGUAACACGUGGGUGACCUGCCCUGCACUUCGGGAUAAGCCUGGGAAACUGCGUCUAAUAUCGGAUAGAACAGCACCGAGAGGGUGGGUUGGAAGGUUGUUUCGGUGUGGGCUGGGCCCGCGGCCUAUCCGCUUGUUGGUGGGGUAAUGGCCGACCAAGGGGGCGACGGGGGGCCGGCCGGGGAGGGGGGACGGCCACAUUGGGACUGAGACACGGCGCAGACUCCUACGGGAGGCAGCGGUGGGGAAUAUUGCGCAAUGGGCGGGCGCCAGAUGCAGCGGCCCCGCGUGGGGGAUGACGGCCUUCGGGUUGUAAACUCCUUUCUACAUCGCCGAACGGUUUCUGACGGUAGCUGGAGAAAAAGCACCGGCUAACUACGUG
rnacentral:rRNA from 1 species